rnacentral:rRNA from 1 species
GACAGAGGGGGCAAGCGUUGCUCGGAAUUACUGGGCGUAAAGGGCGCGUAGGCGGGAUGGCAAGUCGGUCGUGAAAUCCUUCGGCUCAACCGAAGAACGUCGAUCGAUACUGCUGUUCUUGAGGGUUGCAGAGGAGACUGGAAUUCCCGGUGUAGCGGUGAAAUGUGUAGAGAUCGGGAGGAACACCGGUGGCGAAGGCGGGUCUCUGGGCAAUUCCUGACGCUGAGGCGCGAAAGCGUGGGGAGCAACCGGG